GGCUCUACCUUCUUUAGAUAUCAGCUUGUGUACUGCCGUUGAAAGCACACCUCUAAAAGAAUAAGUGUGCUACUAUGAUAUAGCUCAAACACAUCAGGUCAAAGUGCAGCCAAUAAGAAGGUGAUGAUGGGUUACAACCUAUAAAAGGGUGGACUAAAAGUUAAAAACUUUACAAAAAUGGACUUGACCGUAAUUUAUAAAUACCUUAAUAAAUGAUUUAAUAUCUAAGACAUGUACACAUCGCCCGUCACUCUACCCUAAAGGGUAGAUAAGUCGUAACAAAGUAGGUGUAAUGGAAAUUGCACCUGUCGAAGUAUAGCAUAUAAAAUGCUUUUUACUUACACUAAAAAUAAAGCUUAGGCUUACUUCGCUAAUUAAAAUAAUCUUUUAAAUAAAUACAAAUAAAAACACAUAAACUAAUAAAUAUAAAAGUACAGUAAUGGAAUAAAUAAUUUAAUAAAGUAGGGGUAUUAUCCCGUACCUUGUGCAUCAUGGUUUUACAAGAAAAAUUUUAACAAGAUUAAUCCCGAACUCUUAAACGAGAUGACAAAAUACUGUUAAGAACCCAUCAGUAAAUGUGGCAAAAGUUUUGAAAGAUUUAUUGUCAGAGGCUACAUACCACCCGCGCAAGAGCAUAGCUGGUUCUCAACAAACAUUAUACAUUAAAACAUGUGAUAUAUUCACAGUGCAAGACCAUGGGGGACAAGCCCCAUAAACAAAGCAAUAAAAAUCCAAACACACUAAACACAAAGGCCUAAAACCAGCCAAAAACGUACUUUACCGCUACAUAAAAUGACAAAAUAAAUAAUAAAAAAUGCAAAAAGUAAUUGAGAUAAAUAUAAAACAAUAAAAUAUUAUAUUUUAUGUAAAAAUAAGUAUUAAUAAUACUAAAAUAUAAACAAAUAAAGAACAUAAUAACAUAUAAACAAAUACCAGUAAAGGAACUAGGCAAAUAAAUAUUUCGACUGUUUAACAAAAACAUUGCCUUAUGUAUAAAAUAUAAGGUAGU
rnacentral:rRNA from 1 species